rnacentral:rRNA from 1 species
GACGAACGCUGGCGGCGUGCUUAACACAUGCAAGUCGAACGAUGAAGCCGGAGCUUGCUCCGGUGGAUUAGUGGCGAACGGGUGAGUAACACGUGAGCAAUCUGCCCUUGACUCUGGGAUAACUGCGGGAAACUGUAGCUAAUACCGGAUACGACCCUUGGAGGCAUCUCCGGGGGUGGAAAGAAUUUCGGUCAAGGAUGAGCUCGCGGCCUAUCAGCUAGUUGGUGAGGUAAUGGCUCACCAAGGCGACGACGGGUAGCCGGCCUGAGAGGGUGACCGGCCACACUGGAGCUGAGACACGGUCCAGACUCCUACGGGAGGCAGCAGUGGGGAAUAUUGCACAAUGGGCGAAAGCCUGAUGCAGCAACGCCGCGUGAGGGAUGAAGGCCUUCGGGUUGUAAACCUCUUUUAGCAGGGAAGAAGCGAAAGUGACGGUACCUGCAGAAAAAGCACCGGCUAACUACGUGCCAGCAGCCGCGGUAA